rnacentral:misc_RNA from 1 species
GAUGAAGAACGUAGCGAAAUGCGAUACGUAAUGUGAAUUGCAAAUUCAGUGAAUCAUCGAGUCUUUGAACGCACAUUGCGCCCCCUGGUAUUCCGGGGGGCAUGCCUGUCCGAGCGUCAUUGCUGCCCUCAAGCACGGCUUGUGUGUUGGGCCCCGUCCUCCGAUCCCGGGGGACGGGCCCGAAAGGCAGCGGCGGCACCGCGUCCGGUCCUCGAGCGUAUGGGGCUUUGUCACCCGCUCUGUAGGCCCGGCCGGCGCUUGCCGAUCAACCCAAAUUUUUAUCCAGGUUGACCUCGGAUCAGGUAGGGAUACCCGCUGAACUUAAGCAUUCAAUAAGCGGAGGA